rnacentral:tRNA from 1 species
GCCUGGGUGGCUCAGUCGGUUGAGCGUCCGACUUCGGCUCAGGUCAUGAUCUCACGGUCUGUGGGUUCGAGCCCUGCAUCGGGCU